AGCAAGUGACCCAAUUGAAGGAUCUAAUUCACCUUUUAUUAAAAUGAAUGGGUUUUCUGUAAGUUUUACAACAAAGAAGUAAUUUUGAACAGCUUACCUUUUAGCUUGUAGUGAAAGUGCUGACCUGAAAUAUCAAAGACUUUGAAUAACAAAAAUAGUUCAUCAUUAUUCCCGCAUAAAAUAUAAACAGACCGGCAUCUUUUCAUGGAGCCAUAAGUCCCUCAAAUGUAUAAAAGAGUGAGUCUGCCCAAUCAACUUUAAAUAGCAAUGACUGCAGAGCGUGCAGCAAAUCAUAAUCUGGAUCCAGUUUCCGCUGCCACCCCUAGACAUAUACAAGGAAGAAGCCAAAACAAACCUUAAAACUCGUACAAAUAGAUUUUUUGAAGCUAGGAAACAAGCACUUCUUAAAGCCAUAGCAAUAUCAAAGUAAAGAAUGCAUGGAAAUUCUUUUUUUCAUCAUGCAUCUCCCAUUUUUACUUUUUAGUGUGUACAUAUAUAAUUCAAAUGUAAAUAUUACUAGAAGAAUUAUAUUCGAGGAAAAAGAAGGGUGUUUUGGUUUGCUCCAGUUUUCAGCACUGACCACUCUAUAAGAAGGAAUAAUUAUGGUUAGUUCAUGUGAUAUAGAAGCUAUCAUGAUAAAAGAGCAAUUGGUCAAAGACAUUAUGAAGGAAAUAGAUGAACUACUAGAUAAAGUUAAAAGCAUAGGUGUAGCAAGAAAAAUUUCAGCCAUCCUGUGCAAAUUCCAUGGUGUGAUGAUUUAUCUUUAGGUUAAUGGAGGUAGUAACAAUACUCUUAAGAAAAUAGGCCAGGUCUAACUCACCCCAAAAGCUAGCUUAAGGAGGGAGGAGUGCCCAUGGCCAUAUAAGGGGCAUCUUACUUCAAUAUCAAACCAAUGUGGGAUCUUAAUACACCCACCUCACGCCCAGAACUGAACACCUAGACCGUGAAACACUUAUGAGAGACCCAAAUAUUGGUUAGAGAGGCUCUGAUCAUCUUAAGAAAAUGGGCUGGGCCUAACUCACCCACCAAAAGCUAGCUCAAGGGGUGAAGAGUGUCCAAAGUCAUAUAAAGGGUACAUUAUCCCCACCCCAAACCAAUGUGAGAUCUUAACAAAUACUAUCCAGUACAUGUACAGAAAAACUUCAUAGCAUGCACAAGCAAUAUGAAAAGCAUAUGUACAUUUUGCAAGUUUCUUUUGAUAUUUAGGGUGAUAAAAUAAUCAAACUAAAAAGUAGAUGGAAGAUAAGCCACAGAUUACCUCAAGAACCAAAGUAGUUACCAUCACAAUACAAACAUUGCCAUCAAUAUUGACUUUAUGGCGUCGAACAUGCUCAAGUAGUUGCUGCAUGUAAUCAGCAGGACGAACAAAACCAUCAUCUGGGGACCUCCAUAAAUUGUAAAACUUCUCAACUUCCUCAAUGAAAGCCUUAGGAUCUGGGCAGUUUUGCUGUUUAGAUAAUCUAAGUAUGCACUCUGCAGCAGUUCGACCAUCAAGAAGGGCAAUGGCCUUAAAGAAUUCUAGUAUAUUAAAUCGAUCUCUCUUAGAAAGUUCAGCUGUCAUUCCCACAUCAAGGAAGACAACUUGAGGUCUUGAUCCAAAGAGCUGCUUGUGCGGUUCGUCAUCCAUUAAUCGAACAAGAAUAUUUCCAGGAUGCAUGUCUGCA
rnacentral:misc_RNA from 1 species